GGAGGAGUCGCAUAGCGGCCUAGUGCGACACGGUGCUAACGUGUUAACUCCGCAAGGGGUUCGCGAGUUCGAAUCUCGCCUCCUCCGCCA
rnacentral:tRNA from 1 species